CAAGGCGACGAUCAGUAGCGGGUCCGAGAGGAUGAUCCGCCACACGUGGAAUGAGACACUCCCCAGCAUCGUACGGGAGGCAGCAGUGGGGAAUUUUGGGCAAUGGGCGCAAGCGUGAUCCAGCCAUGCCGGGUGUCCGAAGAAGGCCUUCGGGUUGUAAAGGACUUUUGUCAGGGAAGAAAAGGCUGUUGCUAAUAUGGACAGAUGAUGACGGUACCUGAAGAAUAAGCACCGGCUAACUACGUGCCAGCAGCCGCGGUAAUACGUAGGGUGCGAGCGUUAAUCGGAAUCACUGGGCGUAAAGCGAGCGCAGACGGUUAAUUAAGCCUGAUGUGAAAUCCCCGGGCUCAACCUGGGAACUGCGUUGUGAACUGGGUGUCUAGAGUGUGUCAGAGGGAGGUAGAAUUCCACGUGUAGCAGUGAAAUGCGUAGAGAUCUGGAGGAAUACCGAUGGCGAAGGCAGUCUCCUGGGAUAACACUGACGUUCAUGCUUGAAAGCGUGGGUAGCAAACAGG
rnacentral:rRNA from 1 species